UACGUAGGGUGCGAGCGUUGUCCGGAAUUACUGGGCGUAAAGAGCUCGUAGGUGGUUUGUCGCGUUGUUCGUGAAAUCUCACGGCUUAACUGUGAGCGUGCGGGCGAUACGGGCAGACUUGAGUACUGCAGGGGAGACUGGAAUUCCUGGUGUAGCGGUGGAAUGCGCAGAUAUCAGGAGGAACACCGGUGGCGAAGGCAGCUCGCUGGGACGUGACUGACGCUGAGACGCGAAAGCGUGGGGAGCAAACAGG
rnacentral:rRNA from 1 species